GCAUGUUGUCCAGAAAAUUUUAAAAGGGAAAAGGCGAGAAACAACAAUGAUGGACACGUGUUUUUUUUUUUUUUUUGUUAUGGCCAAACUAAAGUGAAAGUGGUGGGAAUACUGAGGGCAUUGAAUAGUGAUGGAGGGAAGGAGGGUUGCAAGUAUCAAUCAAUUAGAAAAUCUGACGCGAUAUGGUUGCUGAAUGCUGCUGCUGCUCCUAGGCCUAUCUAUCCUCGUGAUACAUACAGAUACAAGAUGGUGUAUUUUAGUGCGGUGCCUAAUAAUGCAGCCAGUAACUACUAGUAGUGAUCAACGUGCCAUGCAUGUGGAGCACACAAGACAAUGAUAAGAAGAAAAAGAAUCUUGAAAAAGAUUGAGGGAACAUAAGAUGCAUGCCUAAUUACUCGUAGAGAGUAAUUAAUAUUAUGACUGAAUGGCUGACUGACUGACUGGCUGGCUGGCAGGUUUGUUUAGCACAAGAGGAAUAGGCAGCCAGGAGCGACCAAACAAACUAGUGUAAAGACGAUGGUUCACGCAAGCAAAGCAAUCAUCAUGCGGCAUGUAUGGGCAAUCAGCAUCAUCUUUCUUUGUUUCUUUCUCCAAUAUAUACUAUAGACCAUCAAAAAAUAUAUACUACACUAUACUAUAUGCAGAGCAUACAUACCUAGGUGAAUAACACUAGGUACCAAAAUAGUAGUAGUGCUAGAAUAUAAACAGGGGAAGAAGGUAGCAGUAGCAGCAAGUGGUGUGAUGGAAUGGAAUGGAAUAGAAUAGAAUUGAUGAUAGGGAAAGGGGGAGGGGAAGUGGGGGCAACAAAGAAAGCAAAGACGAGCAAGGAAGGACGACUUACAUCCAUUGCUUUGCUUCUCUUCUCUUCUUUGGCCUGCGGAUGCUGCUGCUUGCCUUUCUCUCUCUCUCUCUCUCUCGCGACGAGUACUCCAGUCAGGAAGCGAAGAUAAUAAGGGAAUCUAAUAAUAAUCCAAUCUGGACUGGACUGGACUGCCUUCCAAUCUUGAAUGGACUGCCUUCCUCUGCUUUGCUUUCUGAUGGUGGGUGGUCCGAUUCCGAUUCCGAUCCAAUUAAUGUCGUGUGGACGACGAAUUGAGUUUAUAUAUGGAGCAAUCAAAAUUCCAACUUAACUUUGUGAUUGAAAUUGAUUGAUUGAUUCGGCGCCACUAGCAGAGCAGAGAGAGAGAGAGAGAGAGAGAGAGAGAGAGAGCAAAUCAGCCGGCCUUUUGCUCGUUCGUUCGUCGCUGGCGGCUGACCACGACGAGCAGGAGCAGCACUGAUUGAUCUAUCGAUUUGAUGCGUUGCCCUCGUCGCCCCCUCUCCUCUCUUCUCCUGCCUGUGCCUGCUUUUUGCUAAAAAUAAUAAGCAGGCCGUGUGGAGGUGAGCAACAAAUUGCUGCUUCCUUCCAAGGAGGACGAACAAGACGAGAGCUAGAGAUGAUAAUGACGGCGAAGAUUUUUUUUGGGGGGUCAUGUACAUAAAUAUAUAGACAUGGCGAAGCCGAAGAUAUAGGGAGGGAGGGCAAAGAGAAACAAGACGAUUGACGAAUCGAUGAUUGGGGGAAAAAAACAGUCCAAUCCAAUCCAAGGGAGUACUGUAUCUGUAUGUAACAAACAAGGGCGAUGGAUCGGAGAUCUCCGUUCUACUACUACUAGUUUGUUGCAACUGCCAACUGCCAAUGGUCCGGAGCAGAUCUCUCUCCCCUCUUUUCUCAGAUGAGAUUCAUCAGAGACGGAGACUGCAACAGAGGAGACCGCGAUUUCUCGCACUCCGUUGCUUCUUCCAUUUUCUUUAUUUUACUUUUUUUUUAUAUAUAAUUGUUUGCUUGCCGAAAUCCCCAACCACGCACACACGCAAAACAAAUUUGUUUUCUUCUCUCCUCCGCUACUCACUCACCGCCUCUUGGGCCCCGCAAACCCAGCCGUGACCAUACAAUAUUAUAUGCACAUAAAUACAUACAUAUACAUUGAUAAUUAUAACAAGAAGCCUCCCAAAAUACUCUUCCAAGUGUGGCCUAUCAACUGAUAACCGUCCAACCUAACGUUUCAUUCAAUUUACUCCAAUUAUUUUUACUUCACCUAAUUUGCCCCUUUAUUUAACUUGAUCUGUCCUUUUAUCUCCUCCACUUACAAGGUGAAUUUUAAUUUCAAAUUUUAUGAUAUGGCAGAGGAAUUUUUUUUUUUUCCAAAUUUGUUGUUUAAUUUCCUAAGUUACCAAAAUAGUGUUGAAUAUUUUUACAAUAAAGUAUGAUGUCCGCUGUCCUGUUAUAAAAUCAACUUAUAUGCAAAAAAAGAAAGCAUAUAUUGUAAAUGGGUAAAAUGUAUGUUUACCAAUUCAAAUAGUUGGGAGAGUAAAUCAAACCAAACUUUACUUUAGGGGUUAUCCAGAUAUUGAUCAAGUUCUUUGGACUUUUUCCUUAGAUAUUACUCCCUCUGUACCUGAAAGCUUCAACUCCUAGAAUCCGUGUCUAAACUUUUCUAACUGUGACCAACUUUAUAGAAAAGAGCAUCAAUAUCUAUGACAUAAAAUAAGUAUCUUACGAAAAUAUAUUCUAUAAUAAAUCUAAUGGUAUUAAUUUGGUACUAUAAAUCUUAACGUUUUUUCUAUAAAUUUGGUUAAAGAUGUAAAAGUUUGACUUAGGACAACUCUAGAAGUUGCAGCUUUCAGGGACAGAGGGAGUAUGUAUCUAUGUAUGUGUGCACAGAUAAGGAAAUUCGAAGUAUGCUAACUAAAUAAUAAGUCAUAUACUCCUAUAUAGUAUUCCCCCCCCCCCCCCCCCCCCCCCUUUUUAAAAAAAUAAAAGAAAACGCACGCACACAAGCACUGAAGCACCGAGAGAUAAAAGAGAGAUCAGGACAAAGUGCCACCUAUAAAAAAAGAAAAUAUCAUCAAACAGAUACGUUGUGAAAAGGCAUGACAUUACCGGUGCUCAGGUCCAUGAACACACACCAAAAUAUCACCUGCUUCAGUUACAUUUCUCGGCCACAAGUCCAUUCUCCCUUAAAAAACUGAAUGAAACAGCAAAGCCCAUUCAUUGGUUGAUCGCUACUUCUAGUACUUCCCAAGAUGACAAACCAAAAGCAAAGAAAAGAAAAAGGAAACUUUCUAUUUCAUAUUAUAAAUCUUCGCAAAAAAGAAAGGGUGUUGAACUACAUAUGUUUGAGCCAAUUUAAACACUCGUAUUACACUUUCUAAUCAAUUCCCUUCUCGAACACAUACCAUAUCAUACUGUCUAUAUAAAUGCUAGUAUAUAAGCAUGCAAAAAGGAAUCUUUUUUCUUGACACAAUCGGAUUCAAUGGUCCAAAAAGGUAAAAACAGAAAAGAAAUGACGACUAGAUGAAAUUGAAACUAACAAAGUUAGAGAAUCCAUGCGCACAAGUAAAUAAAUAGGAUAAACAAGUAAGAGACGAUCAUAUGUGGAUUGUGAUGUGCACUUGUACGUAGUUCAGACUUCUCCAGGUCAUAGUCACAGGUGAGACUGCCGUCACCAAUAGCAAUAGGCAUAUGAAUAUAUAUUCAUGUAUCAUGCCUGCCUGCAGUGCACAGGAUCAAGAAAGCCCAUCCUGCAAAAGCAGCAUUUACCAAAGUCAGGGCUCACUAGUGGCUGCCCAUCCAUCAUCAAGGCAGGAAUAUUUGACUCAUUUCAGAUGCCCACUCAUCACGCGAGAUCUUUUCUUUUGAAAGAUACGUAACCAGCGUAAUGCUCCCUCUAUUUCAAAUUAUAAAACAUUUUUUUCGAGAUAUAUAGAUUUCGAUAUGCAUUUAGAUAGACACUAUAUCUAGUUAUAUAGUAAAAUGUACAUAUUAAGAAAAAUUAUAACGUCUUGUAGUUUGGAAGAGCCAUAGCAACCACCCAGGAGGGAAAAAAAAUACAACAUCAAUGGCUCUUAUCUGCUUCAAGGCGCUGCGGCUGCAGCUAAACACCUACGUGAUACUGUUGCUAAAACUGUGCAGCCGCAGCUCUCCCGAUCACCAGCACAUAAGUUCUCAAAAAAAAGAGGAUCAUCAGCACAUAAGGGCCAAAGGAAACAUUACAUCAUCUUGCAUAUUGUGGUGAUUCAUCAUUCCGUAGUGCAAAAAGUCACCAUUAAAAAGGUAAACAGUUUUCUCCCAACAGACGCACUCUCGUACAAUAUCCUGGGUAAAACACUUGUCAAGAACAAUCACUAAUGAGUUCCAAAACAAAAAGAUCAAUGACUAAUGAUGACCACACUCCAGCUGACAUUGUAGAAUAUAAAACAUACAAUCUCUGGUCAGGGUACUAGCAGCUACUCAACUGGAUUCUGUUUGUCGACUGUUUGUUGCAAAAAUGCGCUUGGAAUAAUGAACCAAAAAUUAGAGGUGUCAAAUAUCUCUCCACCCUGGAGAGUGGAGACACUUGUACAGAAAUAGAACGGAAGAAAAAGCUAAAAGCAAUCCUGGAUUCCAUAUUCUGUUUUGUAGUCCCAAAAGGCACUGUUGUUUUCUCAUCCAUUCAUCCAUGCUGGAGCUUGAAUGUGAUUCCCAAAGUCACAACAUGGGCCAACGCAAAUAUUAAAGCACACCAUUCAAAAGGUAAACAAUUUUGUUCAACAGAUGCAUAUACUCUUGUACAAAUGUACAAUAGCCUGUACAAUAACUGUCAAGACUAAUGACUACUGAUGACCACAGUCAGCUGACAUUAUAGAGUAUAUGGCAUAGUCCGCUACCAGCAGCAUCCUGUUCCAAAAGGCAACAAUCCUAACUAAAUGCAAUUCAGCUACUCACCUGAACUUCGUGGGUUGGAAAAAUGCACUUGCACCCUGAUUUUGGCAGCACGAAAUGAAGCCACAAUGAACCGAAAAAUUCAGGUGCCCAAUUAUUAUAGCAGAAAGAAAAGGGAAGAAAAAGGUAAGAGCAACCCUGGAUUCCAUAUUCUGUUUUGUAGUUCCCAAGUCCCAACUGAAAGCAGCACUAGGAAAACAUAUAUAUAGUCCUCGUAUCUCCUCCCAUAGAGUAUCAUAAUGCAAAGUCACUUUGGCAAGAAUCCCAAAUCAAAUCUUUGGCCUCUAUCUAGAAAUAUGAAAUGCAGGUCACUUGCUCCAAGUUGGACUUUACCCCCACUUUGUUGGCAACUUGAGAGAGAUCUAUCAACAUGGUCAAACUUGGAGCUGGAUCUGCUUUGUGACUACAUCAGACGCUAAUACUACUAGUAGGCCAAGACUUGAUGCUGAUAAACCACUGCAGACAAAGCAGCUUUUGGAGUUUAUGUCUAUCAGAGGAGGUCUUGCAGAAGGAACAUGAAUAGAGAAACAUGUGAUGCCUCGUGUUCCAUCGAGGGAAAAGAAGAGCCCAAUUGUGAUCUAUGAAUGUGCUCAAACUUAUUGUAACAUACUAACAUGACCUGACCACAGCGUAGGAUAUGUAGCGCGACAGAAGAAUGCUACCAUUUCAAAGCAGUAUAAUACGACGCCAUGGUGAAAUGGCAAUUGAACCAAUUUAUGGUGAAGAUUAGUAUGCAUUUAUAUGCAAGGAAAAGAAGGAUCAGUUUUGUCCAUUAGAGCAGAGAAGUGAAACACAACUAAGUACAGAAGCAAAAUUAGGAGUACUAAGCAGUAACAGUGCAAGAAAGGAAACACAUUGGUAGCAACAGUGUUACAAGUUCAUUAGGGACAGAUCACAAAAACAAAAAGAGCAGAGUUUGCCCUGUUGUGUUUGGGAGGCAAAAUCUGCAGUUUCCACCAUGGUGAGCUGAUGGUACUUGUGAUCACCAUCUACUUAUGACAAUGAACAUGUGUAUUAUGAAAAUAUAUUUCAAAAUAAAUCUAGUGAUAUUUAUUUGGUAUUAUAAAUAUUGAUAUUUUUAUAUAAACUUAGUCAAAAUUAAGACAAUUUGACUCAAAACCUCACUAGAAUUGUAUUCUUUUCCAGACAGAGUGACUAGUAACACAUAGCAACCAGCCCACCAAAAAGAACAGUGAAAAAUACAGCAUCACGGAGGCUGUAGCUUCAAUGGCUCUAAUCAGUAAUCACUUCAGCUUCAAGCCCCUGCAGCAGUGCAGCUAAACCGCUAUGUGGUAGUGCAGCUGUGCAGCUGCAGCUCUUCGACCAUCACACAAGGGCCAAAGUAAACAUUACAAUUUACAUCAUUUUGCAUGUUGUGGUGAUUCAUCGUGCCAUAGUGCAAAAAUUCACCAUUAAAAAGGUAAACAGUUUUCUCCCAAAAGAUGCACUCUUGUACAAUAUCUUGGGUAACAGUUGUCAAGAUCAAUGACUAAUGAUGACCACACUCAGCUGACAAUAUAAAAUAUAAAACAUGCAAUCCCUGCCCGCUACUAGCAGCAUCCGGUUCCAAACUGCAAUCAUCCUAAUUCCUAGCGGAAAGUCAACCCAGCUACUCACCUGGACUCUGUUGGUCGACUGUUGGUUCCAAAUAAGCUCUUUGGCACCCUUAUUUUUGCAGGAUGGAGUGAAGCCACGAUGAACCAAAAAAUUCAGGUCACGAAUAUCUCUCCACCCUGGAGACAUUUCCACAGAAAGAAAAGAGGAGAAAAAGCCAAGAGCAUUAGAGCAAUCCUGGAUUCCAUAUUCUGUUUUCUACAAGUUCCCCAAAGCACUGUUGUUUUAGAAAGAAACGUGUUUUCCCAUAUUCUUAACCCGAGAUAAAAUGACUGGCGAGAAGGUUGUUCCUUUUGGGUACCCCGAUAUAGCUGGAGCUUGAAUGUGAUUCUCACAACAAAGGCCAAAGCGAAUAUUAUAGCAUUCAUUAUGCCAUGGUGCGAAAGCACAUCAUUUAAAAGGUAAACGAUUUUCACCAACUGAUGCAUAUAUUCUUGUACAAAUGUACAAUAUUCUGUAUAACAGCUGUCAAGACUAAUGACUAAUGAUGACCAAACUCAGCUGACACCAGUGGCGGAUCUAGGAUUUCAAACAUGGGGGUACGGAUCUGAGCGAUGCAAUUCGCUAAUGAUAUAGUGAUGACGACCGAAUAGCAAUAAAUAGUUAGGUAUAUGAAUUUAAGGAUACAAUUCAUCAACAUUCAUACAAAGAUAGUCAUUGUCAAGGUCUUGAUAAUAAGCAUAUUAGUUUUUGGGUGAUUCAAAGUGGAAAAAUAAAUCUUUUGUGCUUUAUUGUGUAGUCCAUAAAAAAGCUAAAAUCACUAUUUCUUGUAAUGCCUUGACCGUUCUAAGAAAAUAAAAUUAAUUAAACAAGAUCGAGAUUCAAACUUCACAAAAGAACUAUAAUAUAAUGAUGAUUUGGAAAGAAAAAAGAGUCAACUUUAUAUAUUUAUCUCUCAUAACUCGUUCUAUAAUUUUUAUCUGGUUUAUUUAGGCUCCAGGUUGUAGAAGAAAGAGUGCUACUAUGCUAUGCACGGGUUGUUUUCCCUCUUAGAUGAGCAUUUAAGCUUAAGAUAUUGAUAUUUGAUAAAGUGUUUAGAAAUAUAAUGUUUUAUAGAUAUACAUACUUAGGUUUUUUUAUAAAAAUUUUGGGGGUACAGCUGUACCCCCAUGCACCUACACUAGAUCCGCCACUGGCUGACACUAUAGAGUAUAUAACAUACAUAUAUCUCUGGUCCACUACUAGCAGCAUCUGGUUCCAAAACGCAAUUAUCCUAACUAAAGGCAAUCAAAAUGCACUUGCACCCUAAUUUGGUAGCAUUAAAUGAGGCCACAAUGAUCCGAAAAAUUCAGGUGUCAAACAUGAAAAAGGUAAGAGCAACUAUGGAUUCCAUAUUCUGUUUUGUAGUCCCCAAGUCCCAACUGAAAGCAGCACUAUGAAAAACAUAUAUAUAGUCCUGUGUCUCCACCCAUACGGUAUCAUAAUGCAAAGUCACUUUGGCUAACCGAAAGAAGUCUAAAUCAAAUCUUUGGCCUCUAUCCAAGAAUAUAAAGUGCAGGUCCCUUGCUCCAAGUUGGACUUUACCCCCACUUUGUUGGCAACUUGGGAGAUCCAUCAACAUGGUCAAACUUGGAGUUGGUGCUGCUUUGAGACUACAGGGGUGUUUGGCAGGGCUCCUCCUGAGGGGCUCUUCCGGCUCCUUUGUUUUUUACUUGGCUCCUCCUACAAAACUUUUGGUAGGGCUCGUCUAGAGAAGCCGGAGCUGGAGCCGGGGAGGAGCCCUACAUCAAAAGCUAAACACUACUAGUAGGCUGAAACUAGAUGUUGAUGAACCACAGAAGACGGAGCAGCUUGGAGUUUAUGUCUCUCAGAUGAGGUCUUGCAGAAGGAAUAUGAAUAGAGAAACAUGUAAUGCAUGAGUCUCCAAUGAGGAGAGAAAAGAAGAGCCCUACUGUGAUUUAUGGAUGUGCUUAUUUAAUGUAACAUAUGACGUGACCACAGUGUAGGAUACGUAGCGAGGCAGAAGAAUGCUACCAUUUUGAAGCAGUAUAAUACAGAGCCAUGGUGAAUUGGCGAUUGAACCAAUAUAUGGUGAAGAUUAGUAUGCAUUUAUAUGCAAGCAAAAGAAAGAUCAGUUUUGUCUGUUAGAGCAGAUAAGUGAAACACAACUAGCAAGUACAGAAGCAAAUUACUAAGCAGCAUCAGUGCAAGAAAGGAAAUACAUCAGUACCAACGGUGAUACAAUUUGAAUAGGGACAAAGAUCACAAAAACAAAAAGAAGCACUCUUCUGGCUAGCUAAUUGGAGGUAAUUUGGGUGGAAAGUGCAGAGUUUGCCCGAUUGUGUUUGGGAGGCAAAAUCUGCAGUUUCCACCACGGUGGGCUGAUGGUACUUACUACUUUACUAGUACUAGUAAUUACAACACGAUUUCAAAUGCAGCAGAAGUGAACUAGUGAAGUGGAAAAAAAAUACAGCAAGAAAAAAAGUUGAAAGGCAGCAUAGCAUCUACUUGCUUGGAUGAUGUUACCAGCAGAACAGAAGGCGUGGUUUCGGUGGUGGUGGUGGUAGCAUCUACUUGUUCCCGGCGGAAUCGGCAACCGCGACGUCGUCCUUGACCCCGACGAGCACAAUCUUCUCGUAGACGAGGUGUGAGGGGUGCAUGGGGUACUCGACCGGCGCGACGGGCCGGCGCUUGGACACGGAGUACCAGAGGAAGAGCACGAUGAAGGUGAGCAUUGCGCCGGCGGCGGCCGCGAGCAGCAGGGACAGCGCGGCGCCCCAGGGGCUGCUGUAGCGGCGUUCGGGGCCAGGGGCGCGGGCGCUGGCGACGCGCUCUGGCGGCGGCGUGGUGAGCAGGUCGGCGGGGUUGAGCGGCAGGGAGUGCAUCCGGUUGGGAGCUGCGCGGAACGCCCAGGUGAAGAGCGUGCAGUUCCCGGAGGAGGUCCGGAAUCCGGCGAGGACGGGGCCCCUGCGGAGGACGCGGGGCAGAUGGAGCGGGUAGGAGAGGAGCGGCGGGGUCGGGUGGUGGGUGGCGGUGGGGACACGCGUGGCGGCGAGCCGGACGUGGAGCGUGUCCGUGGCGGGAUUGGAAGAAGAAGAAGAAGAGUUGGUGUGGUAGUAGUCUAUCCAGGCGUGCAGGUGCAGCAGCUGGAGGCUUGGGGUGGUGGGAACGGGGUGGUGCGUCUCCGUCUGGAGAGCGGUGCGGCCGGCGAGGUCGAGGCGGAUGUAGCGCGCGGAGAAGACGAGAGCGAGGACCGGGGGCGUGCGAGAGGCGGAGCUGGCGGAGGGCGUGAGGAAGAAGGCGAGGGAGGAGGUGGGGGCGGAAGGGAGGGCGAAGGAGAAGUAGGUGGAGAAUCCGAGCCUGAGUGCGGACGCGGCAAUGGGGGUCCUGUACUGGACCCGCGCGCCGGGGAUGGGCAUGGAGACGGCGCCGGAGGUGGCAUUGGCGGUGGCGGCGCCGGAGAGGGCGAGCUGCGCGAUGGCUCCGGCGGCGGGGAAGAAGUCGAGGGAGAAGGACGGGGAAGAAGAGACGGCGGAGGCGGUGCGAGGUGGUAGCAGCAGCGGAAGCGAGAGGCAGAGGAAGAGGGUGAGGGAGGGGAGAAGCGGCAUCUGCAUUGCCAUCGCAGCCGUGGAUACUUGUUACAGACAGCGAUGAAAGAAAUGAAGGUGCAGAGAGAGAGAUAGCAAGAGAGAUGAAUCAGAUGAAAAAUGCUACUACUUUAGGAGGAGCUUGAUGCUGCUGCUGAUGGCAUUCGCAUAUGGAUGGAUCUCAUCUGGCGAUGUUGACAAGGGAUUUCUUGUGCUGCUUUCUUCCCUCUCCAGGCUGAUGUAACAUAACAGUGAAUGAAUGGCAACUUUGUAAAGGGAAUGGGGAAUCGCAGAUUCUGCUCUUGAUGAGGCAGCAGCCUAGGGUUUUUUGGAAUCGAAUCGGGGACUGUUCUUGGCGUGCAGUGCAGGCGGAGUAGUGACCAAGAUUGAAGAAGAAAAGGGGUAUGAUGGAUAGGGAAAGGAAAAGAGUAGCCGGGUGAGCCUCUCCUCUCCUCUCCUCUCCCUGCUUUUGAUGAGGGAAGGGAGGGGAGGGGGACUAGACGCUGCCCGCCCGUGCUCCACCGGGGGACCAAUCACCAAUGCAAAUUGCAAUGCCAAUUGCAAGGUCUCGCUAGCUCCGUGAAAGUGGGAAACAAAACAAAGAUUACUUUAUAUAAUCUUUUUUUUAUAUGUGUAAUUGAAUCUACUUCUCUUGUAUUCUUUAACUACGUGAAAUAGAUAUGUUCCCUAAUAACUACUCUCUCUUUUUACUUUUUCUAUAUAUAUAUCCAUAUCAGAAUAACUAGCUAAAUAGUUAGCCAAAAUUAGUGUCUAAUCAUAAACUAAUUAUGCUUAAAAAGAUUUGUUUCGCAAAAUACAUAUAAACUGUGUAAUUAAUUAUUUUUUAAUCUAUACUUAAUGUUGUAUGCAUAUUAGAUAGUUAUUUUUAACCUAUACUUAAUGCUCAUACAUACUCCAUCUGUCUCUAAAAGCUGCAAUUUCUAUAGUUGUUUUAAGUUAAACUUUUAGAAUUUUGACCAAAUUUAUAGAAAAACAUUAAGAUUUAUAGUACCAAAUUAAUACUAUUAAAUUUAUCAUAAAAUAUAUUUUUCAUAAAAUAUUUAUUUUAUGUUAUAAAUAUCGGAACUCCUAGCGCCCGGACGUCCGAUCUGGGCGCUAGUGUCCGGACGCUCGCAUCAGCUAGGCCUGUCCCGCGCGCCCGUCUACUUGUAAUCCUAUUUUAUCUGGGGGCCCAUGUCGCUCCGUUUCUCGCGUAUGUCUCGGUCUCAUCCGCGCUCGUUUUCCGUCACUCCGUUUCUCGCGCAUGCCUCGAUCUGCAUCCACAUUCGUUUCUCGUGCCUGCCGCUGCGCCCACGCUCGUUUCCCGUGCCUGCUGCUCGCGCUCCUUUGUUCCACCCGCAUGCACUAGAGCCAGCAGUUGCAAAGUAUGUGGGUGUGGUAGGUGGGUCCCACUACAACAUCCAAAUAAAUCCUUUGCAACAUAAAUCUAAAACAGAUAAAACAUUUAGGAUAUACAAUUGAAAACACCAUUAACAUGUGCAACAUCACAAUCCGCUUUUAAAACAUUCAGACACAACACAUGUAAUAUGCAAAAAAAAGUCAAAUGAAACACUUGAGGCAUGCGUUUGAAACACUUGCAAAAGUGCUUGUACAAAAAAUAGAUAAAACUUUGGAGAUAGACAAUUGCAACAUACAUGUACAACUAUUGCAAUAUAUGCAACAUCUCGAUCUACUUUUGCAACAUCCAAAUAAUACUCUUGCAACAUUCAGAUGAAACCUCUGAAACACUCGAAACAUGCUAUUGCAACAUGCCUGAAAUACGUCCAGAAACACUUGAAACGCAACAUCGACGCGCGGCCAUAACCUACCUUAUGGGGAAGUAUUGUGGUGCGGGCCUCCCCUUCUCCCCUUCCUACUGACAAUGCGAGGUAGAUGAGGGCACAUGCGCCGACGCAUGCGUCCUCUGCUUCCCCUUCCGUGAUGGGCGAGGUGGAUCCGUGCGGUGUUGGAUAGUGUGCGCUCGCAUACCGCCACCAUGUCCGCCGUCGGUCAUGGGAGUCUCUGCCGAAUCUGGGGAGGACGCUGUCGGUCGGGGUAGGGGAGGGUCAGUGACGUUCUCGAGCUCGCCAGCCAGAUCUAGUCUAAUGCGGGAAAGGGCCAUGGACGCCAUAGAUUGGGAAGAGGGGACGUCAUGGAGACCGCCCGCUUGAGGGAAGACGCAUGUGGAGGAGGAGUGCUGCUGGAUCCAUAGAGGGAGGAGAGGAGAUGAGAGGACGACACUAUAGCAGUCGCAGCGGAGAUUUUUUUACGAAGAACAGAGAGAGCGGUUUGCGGUUAGGAAUAUGUGGACGAGAACGAGCCAUAUCCGGUCCGGGCCUCGGUGGGUCGGUGCGAGGAGAUUCCUGAGCGGCGCGACCUAAUGGGUCCGUCCGCCACGGACGGACGACCGAAUAGGAGCAUUACCGUAUAAAUAUUGAUGUUUUUUUCUAUAAAAUUAGUUAAAAUUAAAAAUUAACUAAAGAUUUGAAGCUUUUAGAGACAGACAGGUAUCGGAUUGGAUGUACAUACACAAUCAACGAAUUUCAUUCGUUCGUUUACCGUCCGUUCUCGCGGUCCGGUCCGGUCCGGUCCGGUCCCGGAGAAGUGGACUACUCGUCGUUUCUCCUCCUCCGGUUCAGGUUGGUCCACCACCACCUUUGCCCUCUCGCCAUCCCCCUCUCAAAAGUUGAUGCUCACCUCCUCUCCUCUCUCUCUCUUACUGUCACACGCACUGACACACACAAUAACUAUACCUAUCCAAAAAAAAAAUUAAUUUGGAUAUUGUAACAAUUUUGUUUAUAUUUAACAAUUAUUAUUCAACCACUAAGUUAUUUUAGACUCAAAAGCUUCGUCUCGCAAAUUACAGACAACCUGUAUAAUUAGUUAUUUUUAUCUAUAUUUAAUACUCAAUGCAUGUGUCACAAGAUUCGAUGUGAUGCAGAAUUUUGAAGUUUUUUUGAAUUUUGGGUGAAACUAAGGCCUUGUUUAUUUUUAAAAAUUUUUGUAAAUUUUUUUAAGAUUUUCCGUCACAUCGAAUUUUGCAGCACAUGUAUGGAGCAUUAAAUAUAGAUAAAAAGAACUAAUUACACAUUCUGUCUGUAAUUUGUAAGACGAAUCUUUUGAGUCUAGUUAGUUUAUGAUUGAAUAAUAUUUAUGAAAUAGAAGCAAAAAUAUUACCGUAUCCAUUUAAAGAAUACAACUAAACAAGGCCUAAACAAGGCCAUAGGAGAAGACACCAAAGAAACAAGGGGUAGGUUGUAAAAAGAACAAAGGGCAGGACUAGAGAAAAAGCCGUGCCUUCAGUGCUGUACUGCUGUCGGCAACCCAUGACCCUAUAGCAUGACCUUAGCUUCCUUUGUUAUUUCUUCCCAACAUGCUAUAUGUAUUUUUUAAUCAAUAAUAAUAAUAAUAAUAAUAAUAAUAAUAAUAAUAUAGAUAAAUAGAUAGAUAGAUAUAUAGAUAGAUAGAUAGAUAGAUAGAACAGUUUGUUUUAUUUCCGGCCUGACGUGGCUAGAGCACGCAGCACUACGCGGGCAGUGCCACUGCGUUUGGCAAUCACUCCGUCGGCAUCUGCUUUGGUUUGGCAAUCGAGGAAGGCGUGUGCGGUGUGCCCAGUGCCCGUGCCUACUGUCUGCAUCUGCUUUGGUUUUGUCCAUCCACUCCGUGAACUAUUACGAAGCUGUUCGCUUAUUUGGGCCUUGUUUAGUGCCCAAAAAAUUUUGCAAAACUUUUCAGAUUUCUCGUCGUAUCGAAUCUUUAGACGUAUGCAUAAAGUAUUAAAUAUAGACGAAAAUAAAAACUAAUUACACAGUUUGGUCGGAAUUGACGAGACUAAUCUUUUGAGCCUAAUUAGUCCAUGAUUAGACAAUAUUUGUCAAAUACAAACGAAAUUGGUACUAUUCACAUUUUGCAAAAUAUUUUGGAACUAAACAAGGCCUUGAAGUGGUUUUUAAGACGAUUUUGUUAUAAUAAAAAAUGGUUUUACUUUAGUGAUAGUGGUUUGUAUUUUUUUAUUUUUUAUUUAUUUCGGCUAAACUUUUGAGAAAUUAUAGUAAAUCAUAGAAAAAUUAUAAAAUAAAAAGUUCAAUUUUGUUAUACUCCACAUGAGUAGAUCUACAUAGUGAAUGUAUAAUAUGGUAUGUUUUAGUACAAAGUUUUUGCUAGAAAUGUUUCUUUUUUUUUUAUUUAUUUGGCUGGAUAUUUGAAAAAUCUUAGUAAAACACAUAAAAACAUAAAAUAUAAAAUCUAAUUUUUUUGGACUCCACAUGAGUUGAUAUAUGUAGUGAAUAUAUAAUAUGGUAUACUUUAGUUCAACAAAAUUAAUUAUAGAAACUACAACUAUGAAAGCAUGGAUCUAAAACUACAACAAAAAAUUAAUACUAAAUCAUACAUAUUAUAUGUUCACUGUGUAGAUAUGCUUAUGUGAAGUCUAAAAAAAUAGAUUUUCUAUUUUAUAUUUUUUUGUACUUUACAAUGAUUUUUCAAAGAUUUAGCUAAAAUAAAUAAAAAAGAAAAAUACAAAACCUUCGUAACAAAAGUUUUAUACUAAAGCGUACUAUAUUAUAUAUUUGUUGUGUAUAUCUACUUAUGUUGAGUCCAACAAAAUUAGAUUUUCUAUUUUAUGAUUCUUUUGUGAUUUACUAUGAUUUUUUAAAAGAUUUAGCUGAAAUAAAUAAAAAAAGACAAAGACAAAAUCACUAUCAUGGUAGCAAAACCAUCGUUCACUAUAGCAAAACCGUCUUCAAAACUGCUUUAGGGAGGUAAAAUGCACAGUUUAAAAAAGUUGAGGAAGAUGGUUUGUCUGAUUUCGGAGUAGAGGGAGGAAAAACAAAUUUUUCUUAAAAAAUGAGGAAGAAAAAAUGAAUAUUUUUUUGUUCGUUUGGCUGAUAAAUCAUGACGAAAGUAUUUUUAUUGGAAAAGGUACUGUUGAAUUGUUGAAAAUCAAAGUCUUCACAAAGACUAAGAAUAGUGUAUAAAUAGAAGACUUUGAGUGUGGCCAAAUUAAUAGAGAGAGGGAAAGAAAGUCAAGAGGUUCACACACAUUGCAUCCUCUAUAAAUAUGAGGUGAUCCUCAUCAGAUGUAAGCAAUGAAGAAAGAAGUGAAUGAAAAUGAAAAACUCCCUCUUUCUCCAUCCCCCUCUGUGCAUUUGUUCUUGUGUUGUGAGUGUGUUUGUGAGCAAUCCGAGAAUUCGAUUUCUAACACGUUAUCAGCACGAGUUCUACCGAGCUAAAAGAUAAGAAGGUAAGAAAUCGAUUUAUCCGGUGCUCACUCUUAUAUCUUCUUGUUCAUGAACAAGAACACACACGAAAACACGAGCACGUAGACAUGAACCCCUGCCAUCCUGAAGAUGAGCAGCAUGGACCGCCGCCGUCCGGAAGACGUGCGCGCGAUUCCAGCGAACCUGCCCCCUGCAGGGGCAUGAACGCAGUAGCCACGCUGGUAGCUGCCACCUGAGGCCCUGCACCUGGCCGGACCGCACCGCCCGCGCCCCUGGCCGGCCAGGCCGUCCGGAGCCGCUCGCCGAGGCCGCGCGCGCGCACCGCCGAGGCCACACCGCCGUGGCCGCGAGCCGGGCGCCGGGCAGCCGCGGGCGCCGCGCCGUCGCGCCAGGCCGGCCGUAGGCCGCGCCACUGCGCCGCCCGGGCCGCGAGCCGGGCAGCCGCGGCGCCGUCGCGCCAACCGCCGCCAGGGGGCCGCGUGCCCAUGGUCACCUCGCCCACGUCGGCAGCCAGGGAGCCGCGCCGCUGGCCCAAGUGCCCGCGCCGACCGUCGGGAUGGCCGCGAGCUGCUGUGAGCCACGCGCGCGUGCGCCACAGGCAAGCAGCACAGGAGCCGCGCGCCAUGGCCGUCCGCGCCCCUGCCACCGCCAAGUACGAACCCGCCAGGGGGGUGCAUACCCCUGGACAGCCCGUUAGCCUCGCUUGCACGGAGGGCCGCGCGCCCCCUCGCUGGCCGGCGCGCCCGCCGGGGAGGCCGCGCCCCCUGCCGCACCUCCCAUGGCCUCCAUGGCCAACUUCUCCUCUCCUGUCUAUCUUCCUGAAGAAGAGGAUAAGGAAGAGAGAGAAAGAGGGGAAAGGAAAUGGAUGGGGUUAGGGUUUACCCUUCCCAUUUAUAUGUCCUUUGGGCGAAUCUGAGCCGUCCAUCGCGAUGGACGGCCACGGUUGAUUGGGUCAAUCUGGCCGGCCCAUAAAAGAUAGAUUUGGCCCAUCUAGCCCAUUAAAAUUGGGUUGCGCAUAUUAGUUAUUAUUUGCGCAGAAUAGUGGUCCAAAGUCCACAAAAAUGCACGGCCUGGAGCCCGUGAAAUAUGUGUGGCCCGAAGUCCACCAUAAUAUAUAAAUGCACGGCCCGAAGUUCGUGAAACAUGAGCGACCCGAAGUUCGCUAUAUUUCUUUAUUAUUACUGAUUAUUCCCGCAAUUAUUUAUUGCAUUUAAAUUAUACAUAUUUACUUUAUUGCAAUACUAGUUGGAAAAUAAUCUGGAAGAUUACAUGCGGGAAAUAAAAAGUGUAGUCCUGAAGAUUACACCGAAUUGUAAUCCUGAAGAUUACAAUCAAAGGUAUUUUUAUUUUGAUCUAUGUGCACUGGACCACUUAUCUAGACGGCCUGAAGCCGCUAGACAAAGGCCUGAAGUCUUGUGUCCACGAACUUUUGGUCCAUAUACAGAGACUAAAAAGCCACACACAUAUGAUCCGAAGCCCGCAAACAAUAAGUAGUGAACCUGCAGUUCACCAUGUCUUACCACUACGUGGCCAGAAACCCGUAAAAUCAUUAAGGCCUGAAGUCCUUACAUGACAUGACUGUUUAUUUUAUUGCAAGUUUUAUAUUACUACAAGUCAUAUUUAUUUACUGCAAUUUACGUUCUUACAGUCAUUUAAUUUUCGCAUAUUUAUGCAAGUAUUUAUGAGAAUCGCAUAUGAUUCUGAAGAUUAUAUGCAUGAGAUAUUUGGGAAAAUAUAGUCCUGAAGACUAUAUAAGAAUGUGUGAUCCUGAAGAUUACACAUGAUCGUAAUCCUGAAGAUUACGCGUAACCGACAUUCACUAGUCAUUGGUCGGACGUUGCGAAAAUAGAAUUCGCUAAGCUAGUUGUGAAUGACAGCAGCUACCUCACUUGGAGAUUGACGUUGAGAUGAAAACUCGACGGCUGGUGCCUCGAUGAUACCAUUGUUUAGCCCGAAGCUAACAAUGGUGAGUGCACAAUACUUGAUAAAGCAGAGGGAUUGCAUUCUUUGCAAUACCAUUUACACUCAGACCUGAAGUCUGAAUAUAUAAAUGAGGAUGAUCCAAUGGUUUCAUAGCCGUCCCCGAAGGACCGCUUUAAACUAACAAAAGUCAAUAUGACUGGAUCGUCUUACAUUUUAGAUAUUGUACGUCUGUAACAGCGUACGACUCUGCUUUAUACAAGAUUGUUUCUAGACCGCGUCUAUGUGGCCAGAAGUUCACUAACGCAAAUAUGAUCAGGGAAACUCUUUUAUACCUUCCAUCCCGACAACAUAGUACUAUAUCAGCAAUAUAUAAGUACCUGAAGUACUAUAGGCUGAUAAUGGUACUAUUGAUUACAAAAACAAUAGAAUGAGGUUCUCAAGAACGAUCAUUCUGCACGGCAACUGUGCUCGAAGCACAUGUUAGCGUUGCUGGAAAUUCUAGCAACCACAAAGAGGGCCGUAAAAAGGGAAAAUGGAAGGGAAAAGAGGUGUCAUCCCAAGGGGUAAAAGCGGAUUUGAGAAGGUCACAGGUGGAACAUCUUAGCAGCGGGAUCGCUGUUCUAGAUGUGGAGGCAUGGAACAUGGGUUCCACAAUUGUCGUGCCCCUAAAACACCUAGUUGAUCUCUGCCAAAGUUCUUCCAAAAGCAAGAACAAGGAGAGUCAACAUAAAUCCCACCUCACCACUGAGCAUGAAGCUCAGAAAUGCGGAAGACACAUUUGUCGCCGUGAAAAGAGAUGGUGAAAACAUCCAAGUGGAUGUGAGUGGGGAUAACCUUCUCCUGAUUUCUGUGAUAUAUCUAGGGACCUGCUAAUCCCUGAGAUAUCUUGUUAGUCGCAAUGAAAUGUCCACAUACACCAAUUGAGUUUGGCCAUUCAUGCUCCUAAAGAGCAUUUAUGGCAUGUUGAGUGAUGGCCAUGCAUGCUCCUAUAGAGCAUUUUUAAUAAGUUAUGUAUGUUGGUUUUUGGCCUUUGAACAUAUGCCAAAUCUCCAAAUUCUCAUACCUGGUGGGAGCCCAUAUGAUUGAAGCGGAAACCUGUCCUGCAGACAGUGACACCACCAAUAUAAUGUUAAGGGAAACUAGAUAUUUCCAAACAUUGACUAGGAAAUGGAAGUAUUAUGACCAUUGCCAGAAGCAAUGUUCAUAUCAUGGGCACCGGAAGUGCCGCACUAGUUCUCCCAUAAGUAUCCAAAGUAUGUGGUGGAUGUAUUCCCUUCAUCGGGCUCGUACUGCAUGUACAUAAUCCCACUAAGAGAUAUGUUGCGAUGAGAGCCAUAUUAUUUUAGAGGAAUAAAAAUAUGGCAUGACCAAUUGGGUCAUCCUGGGUUGGAUAUGAUGAGAAAAUCAUCAAUAAUUCUAUUGGCCAUAAAGACUUCCCUAAUCCUAAAGAUUUUAUUUGCACCGCACGUGCAAAGGGAAGGUUGAUCACUAGGCAAUCCCUCCUGAAGAUUAGGGAUGAGUCACAAAGAGGCCUAGUUGAGUCCUUGAUCAAAAGGAUCAAGUGGAUAAUGUAUGGCCAUUGCUGCAAAGUCAAAGGCUGCCAACCAGCAGUUGGGGCCAUACAACAUUGCAUACUGCAAAAUUUAUCCAACUCAGGUCAACUGCACAUCCCCCAUAUGGCUAGUGUGUGAGAAAGAAAGUAUUUCCCAUCUGCGCAUAAGUUAUGCGAUAUAUGUGCCAGUAUCGCCAUAUCAGCGUACACCAAAGAAACCUCACCAGAAGUUGGGAUGUAUGAGCCUAUGACUGGGGAUCUUCAUGAGGCUCGGUACGCUGAUUGCAUUUCCCAGCAUUAGGGAGAGAGAGACAUCCAGAAGAAUGCCGGGAAAUUGCAUGAAAAGGAAUAAAGGCAUUCCUUCUACACACACACACUAGUAAAUCUGGACCAGAAGUUCAGAAAAGUAUGCAUUUGCAAAUUACUACAAAUGAGCUGCCAAAUGCCUUCACUGAUUAGAAAAAUGACAAGGCCACAUUUACCUGUAGUAAAUGUGCCAGAGAGAGUUCGGGUAUCCCUGAAGGUUACCAACUCUAUUGUCUCCAUCCUGAUCCUAGGUUGAGGGGGAGACCUCUGGGUGCUCAGACAAGGUUCCGUGGAGACGUCCACGUAGACAAGGUCUUGAGUCACUUGCAUCAUUUAAAGAAUCAGUUGAAGAAGCUCGACCUGAAGUCGAGAAUGCCCCUGAAGUGGCAACUCAACCUGAAGUUGAGGAGGUCCCUGAAGGACACCAUCCCGAAGAUGGAAAUCCCAAUGCAUCGAGUGCGCACCAUCGCAUUGGAAGAUCGGAACGCCCCAACUCAAUCGUUAUGAGAAAUCAUGAUGAGUGGGAGGACGAUCAUGAGGAGAUCACCACUAAUUAUGUGGAAUCAGGAGAGUCAUAUUAUAGAAAGACCACCAUUGUCGACACAUAUUUUGCCUCAAAAUUGUUGGCUCAAUGGAUCCGGAUCCAAACCAAAGUCCAUGGCAGAGUGCCAGAAGCACUCAGAUUGGGACAAAUGGAAAGCCGCAAUUGAGGCAGAGUUGCGCUCGCUUUAUGAAAGAGAGGCUUCUUGGGCCUGCAGUCCCAACACCUCCAAAGUCAUCCCUGAAGGAUGUAAAUGGGUCUUCCUCCUGAAGAGGAAUAAACAUGGCACAAAGCGAGGCUGGUGGCACUAGGGUUCACGCAGAGACCCGACAUCGAUUAUGAUGAAACUUACUCUCCUAUGAGUGGCAUAACGUUUCGAUAUCUGACACCUAUGGCAGCUAACAUAAACUUAAAAAUGCAGUUGAUGGAUAUUGUGACCGCAUACUGGUGCGGGUCACUUGAUUCGGGAAUCCACAUGAGAGUCCCUGAAGGGCUCAAGAUCCCUAGACCGAAUCUAAAUCGCAACAUGUUUAGCGUCCGCCUGCAGCGGUCGUUGUAUGGGUUGAGACAAUCCGGAAGGAUGUGGUUCAACCGAUUGAGUAACUUUCUCCUGUAGAGAAGUUACAUCAGUAAUGAUGAUUGUCCCUAUGUUUUCAUAAAGAAAUCCAAUGAUGAAUUUUGCAUCAUCUCUGUCUAUGUCGAUGAUUUGAACAUCAUCGAGACUACAAGGGACAUUGAGGAAGCAAUGGCUUACCUCAAGGCAGAGUUUGGGAUGAAAGACUUGGGCAAGACCAAGUUUUGUUUGGGCCUGUAGCUCAAACACCUCCCUGAAGGAGUGUUUGUAGACCAGUUCACUUAUACUAAGAGGGUACUUGAAAGGUUCAAUAUGAGCAAGUGCCACCCUCUUAAGACCCCCAUGGUAGUCCGAUCCCUAGAAGUGGAUAAGGACCCAUUCGAAACCAAGGGCGAUAAUGAGAAAGUAUUGGGACCCGAAGUUCCAUACUUGAGCACCAUUGGAGCACUGAUGUACCUUGCAAACUACACUAGACCUGACAUUGCAUUUGCAGUGAAUUUGUUGGCAAGGUAUAGUGCUGCCCCAACCAGGAGGCAUUGGGUUGGCGUCAAAACUAUCUUGAGGUACCUAAAAGGUACACAAGACCUUGGUCUAUGGUUCUUGAAGAACCAAGCUCCAACCAUGGUGGGAUAUGUGGAUGCUGGCUAUAUUUCCGACCCGCAUAAAGCCAGAUCACAGACUGGUUUUGUCUUUGGUGGAGCAGCCAUUUCCUGGGGGUCUAUGAAAUAGACCCUGGUUGCCACAUCGACCAACCACUCAGAGAGAAUUGCUCUGUACGAGGCUGCACGAGAAUGUGUUUGGUUGCGACGAAUGAUCAAUCACAUCCAGAAGUCAUGUGGUUCGAACGUCGCCGACACCCCCACCAUUAUCUAUGGAGAUAAUGUGGCUUGUGUUGCACAGAUGUGCAUGGGUUAUGUCAGGAGCAAUCUCACAAAGCAUUUUGCUCUAAAAUUCUUUUAUCCCCAUGAGCUCCAGAAGAGCGAGGAGAUAAAUAUCCGGCAAGCAAGGUCAUGCAAAACAUCGCGAAUUUUUUUCAUGAAAUCUCUACCUGCCUCUAGCUUCUAUAGGUGAGGCGGCUUAGAGGGUUGCAGGGUUUAGGGGGAGACCAGCCCCAAAGACAUAAUCCAUGACCGUGGUCCUGAAGAUCACGAGUUGGUCCUGAAGACCGAUCCAAAUAUCAACUGUUGUACUCUUUUUCCCUUGAUGAGUUUUUCCCAAAGGGUUUUCUCAUGCAAGGUUUUUAACGAGGCAACAGGUGCAACAUAGGUGGUGCAUGUGAUGUACUCUUUUCUCCUACCCUUUUUUCCCACUGGGUUUUGGGGGGAGUUUUUGACGAGGCAUACACAUAGCAUGAAUUUGGCCAAGGGGGAGUGUUGAAAAUCAAAGUCUUCACAAAGACUAAGAAUAGUGUAUGAAUAGAAGACUUUGAGUGUGGCCAAAUUAAUGGAGAGAGGGAAAGAAAGUCAAGAGGUUCACACACAUUGCAUCCUCUAUAAAUAUGAGGUGAUCCUCAUCAGAUGUAAGCAAUGAAGAAAGAAGUGAAUGAAAAAUGAAAAGCUCCCUCUUUCUCCAUCCCCCUCUAUGCAUUUGUUCUUGUGUUGUGAGUGUGUUUGUGAGCAAUCCGAGAAUUCGAUUUCUAACAUGAAUAACUGGUAGAUACUCAUAUCAGCUUAAACGAUCAGGCUGCUUCUGCUUGCCAUGGCCCGGCUGGCGGGCUUCUGGCUGUGGACCGUGUGGCCCAUCUCAUCCAAUACCAGUCUGGCUUUGGCAGUUGGUCAAAAAAAAAUGAAAGCGAAAGCGCGGGGGUGGGGGCUGGCAAUGGCAGCUGAAUGCUUGCCAACUCGAAUGGCUUGGACGUUGGCGCCACUAUUUGCCGCUUGCCGCACGCACUCUUUCUAUGCAUCUCACUUCCCUCUUAAGUUGUUCCAAAUUUACUUUAGGAUAUUGGUCGAGCUUCUGACGGAGCGAAGCGGAGGUCCGUCGCUGGAGGCUUGGGUUUUUUUUUGCCAAACACUUAUUUCCAAAAUAGCUUCAUGGGUGAAACUGUUUUUCUCCUCCUCUCACAAAUACAUAAGUUGGAUGAAGCUGGAAAAAAGUAGCUUAUUGCAGCUUCUCCCUCAUUUCUCUCUCUCAACUAUGUAUGAAGUAGUUGGUGAAGCUAUUUUGCCAAACAUUUUUUCCAAAACAGCUCAGCUUCAUCUAGAAAGUCACUCAUGAAGCUAUUUUCUAAAAAAAUAGCUUUACUGGUGAAGUUGAGCUGUGCCAAACAAGCCCUUAUUAGUUAUCAUCAGAAGUUUGCUGCUCAGAUUGAGCCUGCCAUUUCGUGCCUUGUUAGGCUGUUUUCUUUGAAGUGAAGCCUUGUAAAGCUGUUGUUAUUCAGAAGUUGGUUGCUCUCUUAGCAGAUGCCAAAUAAAGUGGCAUGGAGGAUCUGUAUAGCUUGUUGCAAUUGCAGUAAAGUAUAGUAGUGUAUGUACUCGCUAACCAAGUGAAAUCAACUAAGGCACUGAAAAUUGAAGAGAAAAAGCAAGGAUUCCGGUGAAAGAAUGAAGCAG
rnacentral:lncRNA from 1 species